GGUGGAUACCUAGGCACACAGAG
rnacentral:rRNA from 2 species